UGUAGUUAUAUAUAUAUAUAUAUAUAUAUAUAUAAACUGAGUGAGUGAUAGAAAGAUAGAUCUUAAUAUAUGGGUCUGUGAUGUGUGGGUGUGUGCGUGCGUAAACUUGUAACAUAUAUUUGGAACACGUAGACAUCAAUGAGAUAUAAUGGAAGUAUGAUGCAGAAAUUAAUGAAAUAUAAAGCAAAUAUUCUUCAUAAAAGAGAAAACUUUAACAUUACAAAUGUUUCCAACGCUUCUAACAAAAUUAACCCAGUAUGGCAAUAGACGAAUUUCUUCUAGAAACCAUCGCUUUUUUACGAACCAAGAGCUGUAUGAUUUAUUCUUGUCGAGAAAGGCGUGGAUCUUCUAUAAGAAUGAAGCUGUAUACCUUAAAUUGCCACAUCUAUAUACGAAGACCACGAAGAAAUCUUGCGUAGCAGUGUUUAUUUUCACGAGAUAACUGUUGAAAUCACCAGAGGAAACACAUCUACACCGAAGGAUCCCACCCGCGGGGUAUCGUGACUAGAUGACAGAGCUGUCCGUAUUUCUGUGAAAAGCGUGAUGAACACUAUUCAAUACUCAACUAACAUUGACUCUCAUACUAUGUAAAUAACUUUAUGAAAUACUGGUAUUGUAUAACGUUGAAUUUUUAAUGAAUGUCUUGGAUGAAACUUUCGUUAAACUGCAUUUUUCACCUUAACGUAAAUUUCUCCUGUGAAUAACAUUAUAAUAAAUUUGACAUGUCGCAUCAAAGUGGAAAAGACGCCUUAAUGUGUCUACUUCAUAACUCUGACCUUGUGUUUGAAUACCUGCUGUAAAUAGUAAUAAUAUACUGCUGUGUUUUGCAGUCUUGUUUCAAAUUGCAUCGCUAGUGACAUGCCAAUGUCAAAAUGAUCAUUUCUUAGGCUAUUCAAGAUCAUUAGACAAAGCAAGUAUUAGCCAGCAAGUAUAUUAAAACAUGCGAAAGACUAAAAUUAGGAUAAAAGGGAUUUAGUUUUCUUCUUUCAAAUGAAACAUGUGAUAAUAGCCCCAUCAAAUGAUUGACAUUUCUCUAAAAUAAAGUUUAAUAAAUUUGUUCUCCAGUACUACCAAAAUAUUCCGUAUUGCGUCAUAAAGUAAAAGAAAAAAUUAUUGAGGUCGAUGUAAUUGAUUUAAUCCCUUUGUCUGUCCUUGUUUGCUCCCUCUACGUUUAGCUCCUUGUGGGCAAUAAAGAAAUAAGAAUAUAAUAGAAUAUAAUAUAUGAGAAAUUGUAUAUAUGAGAUCAAAAAUUUGACUACAUCAUACGAAAAUAAAUUUGAUGCAAAAGGAAAAUAUUGUACGGAUUAAAAACUUCGAGGAAAUUGAUCAGCUAGUGCCAAAAUUGUGAUAUUUAUUAAAGGUUAGCAAUAUUGUCAGAAAGAAGUGGGAGCUAAUCAGAUAAUUGCUGAAGAGACCAUCAGAAAGAUUGUCCCAGAUACCAGACUUGCUGAGAAUGAUAACGUUAUAGGAACAAUCAUCAUCACAAAUGAGUGUUUAUAUAACUUAUUGUUAAUUGGGAAUGUGAAAUCGGCCAUGAGUCCUUCAAGAAAUUUCUUUUCAAUUUCAUUUUAAAUUUAAAAACCAAUUUAUUCUCAAUACUUGUUACUUCAUUAUCAACGAGUGGAGCCACGAGAUAAAGAGAGGAAACUCCAGCUAACAAUGAAAGUCAAAUAGCCAGCAACAGAAACUAUGACCAUAUGAAAGUACUGCGGGCACGCAAGCAUCAACCAGCAGCCCACCAUCUCAUGGCUAUCCGUUUAAUGCGCUGGUACGGACAUAUCUUCAGUAUCCCUGUGAAUCAUCCUAUAAGGGCUUUAAUCUUAUUUGAAGCAACAGCUGCGGGUUGGAAGAGACCUAUCAGAUAUAUAUGAGAGGUUUAUAGAAUAAAUUUGAUUUAGCGGAUAUCUCUCCUAGUGAAACUAGUUUGAUUUUGGCCCGGGGUUUUGGUAUUUUUCUGCCUUUCUUCAAUUUUAAGUCUCUUCACUACCAUUUUCCACCUCUCCCUCUUCCUCUUCCCAAAAUUCUCCACAGAGCUAUGCGUUGAUGCUACACAUUUGUCUAUGAUAAGCUCUUACUGGGAAAGAUUUCUGUCCACUCAACUUUCUGUCAAAAUUCUCUCCACUCAACUGAUCAACCAAUUGCCGUGAUUUUUCUGUUUAAUAAACUCUUGCUUUUGUAUUCAAAUUUUUCAUAUAUCUUUUCGGUGUAUAUGUGCAUCGGUACCUGAAGGCAACUCCAUAUUUAGAGCAACUGUAAAAGAAAUUAUUGAAAAUAAUAUUGAUGAAAAUGUAUUAAAAUCUAAGACAAACCGUAUAUUUCCGCCUGAAACCAUAUAAUUUUCACACAAAUAACCAGAAUCUGUUUGCAAAAAAGAAAAUAAAGCAAUUGUCGUUGAAUAAAGCGUGGAAGUAUCCACUUAUUUACCGGCAAUAAUAACGACGACCACGGUGAAUACGAUAAUAAUUUUCCUCAUAACAACAACAACAGCAAUAAUAAUAAACACAAAAACAAUAACGAUGUA